rnacentral:rRNA from 1 species
GACGAACGCUGGCGGCGUGCUUAACACAUGCAAGUCGAACGCUGAAGACCUGGCUUUUGUUGGGUUGGAUGAGUGGCGAACGGGUGAGUAACACGUGAGUAACCUGCCCUCUUCUUUGGGAUAACGCCCGGAAACGGGUGCUAAUACUGGAUAUUCACUGGCCUUCGCAUGGGGGUUGGUGGAAAGGUUUGUUCUGGUGGGGGAUGGGCUCGCGGCCUAUCAGCUUGUUGGUGGGGUGAUGACCUACCAAGGCUUUGACGGGUAGCCGGCCUGAGAGGGUGACCGGUCACAUUGGGACUGAGAUACGGCCCAGACUCCUACGGGAGGCAGCAGUGGGGAAUAUUGCACAAUGGGCGAAAGCCUGAUGCAGCGACGCCGCGUGAGGGAUGGAGGCCUUCGGGUUGUAAACCUCUUUCGCUCAUGGUCAAGCCGCAACUGUGGGUUGUGGUGAGGGUAGUGGGUAAAGAAGCGCCGGCUAACUACGUG